rnacentral:rRNA from 1 species
GACGAACGCUGGCGGCGUGCUUAACACAUGCAAGUCGAACGGACCCUUUUAACGGAAAUUUUCGGAUGGAAGUUAGUGGGGUUAGUGGCGGACGGGUGAGUAACGCGUGGGUAACCUACCCUGCUUACGGGGACAACAGCUGGAAACGGCUGCUAAUACCGGAUACGAUUCUCGGAUGACAUCGUCUGAGAAAGAAAGGUGGCCUCUAUUUAUAAGCUACCGAGGCAGGAUGGACCCGCGUCUGAUUAGAUAGUUGGUGAGGUAACGGCUCACCAAGUCGACGAUCAGUAGCCGGCCUGAGAGGGUGGCCGGCCACACUGGGACUGAGACACGGCCCAGACUCCUACGGGAGGCAGCAGUGGGGAAUCUUCCGCAAUGGGCGAAAGCCUGACGGAGCAACGCCGCGUGAGUGAAGAAGGCCUUCGGGUCGUAAAGCUCUGUCUUUAGGGAAGAACAAUCAGUGUGUAAAUAAUGCACUGAUCUGACGGUACCUGAGGAGGAAGCUCCGGCUAACUACGUG